UUUUUCUUUUUCUUUUUUUUUUCCCUUUCUUUCUUCUUCCUUCUUUUCUUCUUUCUCUUUCUUUCCUUUUCCUUUUUUCUUUUCUUUCAAGAUAUUAGUUAUUCAUGAGAGACAGAGAGAGAGAGAGCGGCAGAGACAGAGAGAGAGAGCGGCAGAGACACAGGCAGAGGGAGAAGCAGGCUCCCUGCGGGGAGCCUGAUGCAGGACUCGAUUCCAGGACCCUCGGAUCAUGACCUGAACCGAAGGCAGACACUCAACCACUGAGCCACCCAGGCGUCCCUAUUAUUUAGAGGAAAAAAAAAAAAAAGAUUCUCAAAACAUGUUCCUGUGGAACAUCGGUGUCCCUGAGUAUGCUAAGGCACUAGAAAACCACACAAUGGUGGUCUUUUCUCAGUUUGCAGGGGGAAAUGGUCCUAUUGCAAAGAAUGUUUUUGAUGAAAAUAUUUUUUCCCUUUGGUUAAAAAUCACUACCACCACAAGAGGACAACUUUGUGCUUGCUAUCAUUUGUACUAGAAAAGACUAGCAGAAAGCAAAAUUUAAAAAAUCAAGUAUGUAUUUGAUUUUAACAGAGAAGCUCAGAAACAGCCUGCUAUGCGGGUCUAGGGAGCAAGGCCUGUUUUGAGGGCCUGAGAUUCCCCAGUGGGCCUGAUAUUGGGAGCCCUUGGAAGUGCACAGUGACCCAUGGUCAGGCCAGUCAGAAUAUUCCUGACCAUUGUGACUGGUUCAGGGAUGGGAAUGUGAUCCCAGACUUUGGUGCUGCCUCUGGAGGAGGCUGGGUCUUCCCUUUAGGGUGUUGGAGCUGCUGGUUGCAUAAAGGAAGCUCACUGCUGGGGGGGCGGGGAGGGGGUAAGGCCACCAAGUAUGGAGAGAGGCUCUGAUGACAUCUGAGUGCCUAGGGCCAGCUUGAAGCUGGGACCACCCUAGACUCUUCUUACAGCAACGGAGCCAUGCCCUUUCCAUCAUGGGCUGGCAGUGGGGCAUAUUGCCAUGUUUCCUUUGGGCAUGACUGUUUCCUAGACUGUGUGAUAGAAAUGAAUACAUAACUAUUUCUCGUGCUUCCCAAGAGGGCUCUGUGAUACUCCGCAGCUCCACCUGAGACCCUCUGCUCCAAGUAACUUCCCAUCAAGUGGGGACAGGCCCCCUUCCCAGUUCCAGGCUUCCUGGCCUCUGAGUCUUCUUGGCCCUCAAAGAUCAUCCCGUCCAGGAGCACCCCCCCCCACACACACACAUGUACUGUUUCCCCCAUCUCCCUGACGACUCUGAGGGUCAUCCCGAAACCCUGGUGGUUUCCUAGCAAUUCCAAGCACAGGAGCUCCUCAAGGUUCACAUCUGGCCUUGCAGGACUCCAGGUGGGAGACUCUGGGGAAGGGGGCUGUUGAGGAAAGGGAUGCUUCUGCCACCCCCUCUCUCCCAAUUCCCUGGGCUUCUCACAUGCAGUUUUGCCUUGGUUUGUACAUGACUACUUGAGUGCACAGAACCUCCAAACCUCAGACUACCUUCCCCACCAUCUGAGGGAGGCUGCCUGCAGAGGCUGCCUCCUCCCCUAGGGCCAGAUCUCCAUCCCCCUGUGGAGCCCUUCUCCUGUCCAGAGGCCCCUCGCCUCAAGAGCGGGACAGAAAGCAGGGUCUCUGCUUGGCAAUCAGCUCUUUCUCCACAAGGCCAGAGGCCAGAGGCGGGUGUGGGUGGCGCCUGCCUCACUGGUUUUGGGACCCCUGCCGCUCUUGGAGAGGGGUGCUGUGAGCACUCUGUUAGAGCUACAGGCCUGUGGGCAGCCUCUCUCUGGGUGGGCAUGUGUGGCUCCCAGGCUCCUGGGGCAGGGCAACAUCAGAGCAGCGUCCUGGAGGGACCCUGAGCCAGGGCAGUGGCUCGGGCCCACCCCUCCACCCCCUGGGCCCUUCAUUUUCGAUUGUUCCCAUUUGUAAAGGGGUAACAAGGGCCAUCUCAUGGAGCUUUGGCUGGAGUUACCUGGGGCGACCAGCUUGUAAAGCACCCUGGCCAAGUUGGGGUGUGGGUUGCAAACUGACACCAGUGCCCCGCUAUCCAGGAAGAGCACAAGGUCAGCCAUGGAUGCAGCUCCUCCCAGGGCCCCAGCCAGCUUCCUUGAUUCCCUCUUUGGGUUCUGAGAGUCGAGAGUGCCCGCUCCCAUGCAGGGGGGUCUCUUCAUGAACCUUACCCUCUGUGAGCCUUCUGGGGCCUGGGGGUGGGAAUGUGUGCCC
rnacentral:lncRNA from 1 species